rnacentral:rRNA from 1 species
UACGGAGGGAGCUAGCGUUGUUCGGAAUUACUGGGCGUAAAGCGCGCGUAGGCGGCUUUGUAUGAUAGAGGUGAAAGCCCGGAGCUCAACUCCGGAACUGCCUUUAAAACUGCAUCGCUUGAAUCCAGGAGAGGUGAGUGGAAUUCCGAGUGUAGAGGUGAAAUUCGUAGAUAUUCGCAAGAACACCAGUGGCGAAGGCGGCUCACUGGCCCGAUACUGACGCUGAGGUGCGAAAGCGUGGGGAGCAAACAGG